rnacentral:rRNA from 1 species
CCCUUAGAUGUUCUGGGCUGCACGCGCGCUACACUGAUGCUUUCAUCGAGUAUAUAACCUUACCAGACAUGGUUGGGUAAUCUUUUGAAGCAGCAUCGUGAUGGGGAUAGAUUAUUGUAAUUAUUAGUCUUCAACGAGGAAUUCCUAGUAAGCGCGAAUCAUCAGUUCGUGCUGAUUACGUCCCUGCCCUUUGUACACACCGCCCGUCGCUCCUACCGAUUGUGUAAUCCGGUGAAUAAUUCGGACCGAUUGCGAUGUCAGUUCCUGGCGCCGCAGACGGAAAGUCUAGUGAACCUUAUUACUUAGAGGAAGGAGAAGUCGUAACA